rnacentral:rRNA from 1 species
GUAGCUAACGCAUUAAGUUCCCCGCCUGGGGAGUACGCCCGCAAGGCUAAAACUCAAAGGAAUUGACGGGGGCCCGCACAAGCGGCGGAGCAUGCGGAUUAAUUCGAUGCAACGCGAAGAACCUUACCAAGGCUUGACAUAGCCGAGAACGCUGUAGAGAUACAGAACUCUUUGGACACUCGGUUACAGGUGGUGCAUGGUUGUCGUCAGCUCGUGUCGUGAGAUGUUCGGUUAAGUCCGGCAACGAGCGCAACCCUCGUCCUAUGUUGCCAGCACGUUAUGGUGGGAACUCAUGGGAUACUGCCGUGGUCAACACGGAGGAAGGUGGGGAUGACGUCAAGUCAUCAUGCCCCUUAUGUCUUGGGCUUCACGCAUGCUACAAUGGCCGAUACAAAGGGCUGCGAUACCGCGAGGUGGAGCGAAUCCCAAAAAGUCGGUCUCAGUUCGGAUUGGGGUCUGCAACUCGACCCCAUGAAGUCGGAGUCGCUAGUAAUCGCAGAUCAGCAACGCUGCGGUGAAUACGUUCCCGGGCCUUGUACACACCGCCCGUCAAGUCAUGAAAGUCGGUAACACCCGAAGCCGGUGGCCUAACCCUUGUGGAGGGAGCCGUCGAAGGUGGGACUGGUGAUUAGGACU